UAGAGUAGCACAAUGGUUUGAUCAAGAUCUAACAUACUAUUUUUCAUCUUCCGCUCUAUAAUAUUUUUGUUCUUUCCUUUAUCUAAUAAUUCAAAACACAUUCAUUUUAUGCACUAUAAUGGUUUUGUUUAAUAAAAUUUUGAUACAAGUUCAAAUUAAAUAAUAAUAUAUAUCUAUAAAUAAUAAUAAAUAAUAAUUUUUCAUAUAAAAAGAAAAUUAUUUAUAAUUAGAUAAUUGAUUUUAAAUAACUAUGAUGUCAUAAAAAUGUCAAAAAACAUAUUUAUAAGCUAAAAUUUGGCAUUAGUGGUGCCUACUUCAUUCUUAUUCAACAUGUGAAAUGUUUUUAAUAUCAAAUAAUACAUAACAUUAAGUCGUUAUUCAACAUACCAAUUUAAUUAUAAUGAUUCAACUGUAGACUUUUUUAUUCAAUAUAUACAUUGUAAAUUGUCUUAGAUCUUCCAUCUUUUCUUGAUACUUUUAACAGUAAAAUAUCUUAAUGUUAGAUUCACAAAAAAAAUACAGUUAAAAAAUAAAGUUGAUGCUAAUAUAUAUAGACAAAUAAAACAUUGGUUUAUAAAGGUGGAUGUAGAAAUCUUUUAUUAAAGGCAAAUCUAUGUAAAUAUAAGCAUAAUACUAAAAAGUGAUUUUUAAUAGAGAACAAAGUUUUAUUAGGGGCAAAUUAUAUAUAUCCAGAGGGUAGGGCGUGUUUGGGCAGAAGACUGCGGUCCGCGCAGACUUGACCUAUUGUGAUCCGCUUGAAGCCAACCCCGCUGCGAUCCAGGAUGGGAUGAGACGGGAUAACCUGUCUGCCAUCUCUAGGUGGAACAAUGAAACUAGUUUGGGUUUUUUGGUGAAAGAUUGAAAAUUCUUGGUAUAUUAUGCAAUUUAUGGAGUAGUGAUUAAUGAUCUGGGCUUCUUUAAGAGAUUUCGGCCCAUUAAAUAGAUAUAAAGCAGUGUAACUAGGGCCCAUAUGAUUCAUCUUAAUAACGCUUACUGUAGCUUCAUCUUCCCUCUCUCUCUCCCCUGAAGUGGCUACUAUGAGUCUCUCCCUCAGUGUUACCUUGUGGAUAAGGCGGCGCUGAUUGCGGUCCGAUUCAGCAAGGUGGGUCUUGUAACGACCCGACGGGUAUCCAGAAGAUGGCGUCUUAUGUUUUCAGUAACUACUACUUGAAGAACGGACAAGCUGACGAGGCUUGUAGUAUCUACAACAACGCAGCUCUCACUUCCAUCAAUCCCAUAAGAGAGUGAGCAAUGGGCGAGUCGUGGACGACACUUCAGUGUGUGCAGGAGGACAAGCAGAUAUGAGCAGUAGCAGACGGGUAUCCAGCAGCUAGAUCUUGACGAUGCACGGAUAAAUUCAUCUGUAGGCCAUAAGCACAAGCUCGUUGACGAUGAUAAAAGUCCUAGUGUAGGUUUUAACAUGUUUUUGAUAUCUUCAAUUGUAAUUGCAUUGUUAAUAUUGCUAUUAAGACGAUCAUGUUUUACCGUAGCAUCAAUCCCUAGGUCUUAUGACCUUACAAUGCCUUCAAAUUGGAAACA